UGUUCCGGUGUCCUUCCACGCUGUAGUGGCUUAUGUUGUUUUGCUGUUUGGGGUUUGCACUGUCUUUUUGAGCUGUAACACAGCAAAGGUUUGCAGCUUCGCUCCUGAAAUCAUCGAGACCACAAACCCACCGGGAAGAACGAACAACUCCAAACGCACCACUUUAAGAGCUGUAAUACUCGUCGGGAAGGUGUACAGCUUCACUCCUGAGUCAGCGAGACCACGAACCCAUCAGAAGGAAAAAACUCCGAACAUCAGAAGGAACAAGUUUCAGACACGCCACCUUUAAGAACUGUGACACUCACCGCGAGGGUCCGCGGCUUCAUUCUUGAAGUCCGUGAGACCAAGAACCUACCAAUUCCGAAUACGUUGGGUUCAAGUGGUUCUCCUGUCUCAGACUCCCGAGUAGCUGGGAUUACAGGCGCCCACCACGCCCAGGAAAUUGGCAACUGAUGAGGGGAAGUGUAUCAGUCUGUUUUCAUGCU
rnacentral:lncRNA from 1 species